rnacentral:sRNA from 1 species
CUCGACUUGCUGAGUGCGCACCAGCAAGGGGCGAG